AUUGAACGCUGGCGGCAUGCCUUACACAUGCAAGUCGAACGGCAGCGCGGACUUCGGUCUGGCGGCGAGUGGCGAACGGGUGAGUAAUACAUCGGAACGUACCCUGUUGUGGGGGAUAACUAGUCGAAAGAUUAGCUAAUACCGCAUACGACCUGAGGGUGAAAGUGGGGGACCGCAAGGCCUCACGCAGCAGGAGCGGCCGAUGUCUGAUUAGCUAGUUGGUGGGGUAAAGGCCCACCAAGGCGACGAUCAGUAGCUGGUCUGAGAGGACGAUCAGCCACACGGGGACUGAGACACGGCCCAGACUCCUACGGGAGGCAGCAGUGGGGAAUUUUGGACAAUGGGGGCAACCCUGAUCCAGCAAUGCCGCGUGUGUGAAGAAGGCCUUCGGGUUGUAAAGCACUUUUGUCCGGAAAGAAAUCUCGCUGGUUAAUACCUGGCGUGGAUGACGGUACCGGAAGAAUAAGCACCGGCUAACUACGUGCCAGCCGCCGCCGUAA
rnacentral:rRNA from 1 species